GACGAACGCUGGCGGCGUGCUUAACACAUGCAAGUCGAACGAUGAAAGCGGGAGCUUGCUCCUGCUGGAUUAGUGGCGAACGGGUGAGUAACACGUGAGCAAUCUGCCCCGAACUCUGGGAUAAGCGUUGGAAACGACGUCUAAUACCGGAUACGACGCGCGAAGGCAUCUUCUGCGCGUGGAAAGAAUUUCGGUUCGGGAUGAGCUCGCGGCCUAUCAGCUAGUUGGUGAGGUAAUGGCUCACCAAGGCGACGACGGGUAGCCGGCCUGAGAGGGUGACCGGCCACACUGGGACUGAGACACGGCCCAGACUCCUACGGGAGGCAGCAGUGGAGAAUAUUGCACAAUGGGCGCAAGCCUGAUGCAGCAACGCCGCGUGAAGGACGACGGCCUUCGGUUGUAACCGUACUUUAGUUAGGGAAGAAGCGAAAGUAGACGGUACCGUG
rnacentral:rRNA from 1 species